AUAAGCUAAAUAAGGGCGUAUGGGGAAUGCCUAGGCUCUCAGAGGCGAUGAAGGACGUGAUAAGCUGCGAAAAGCUGCGGGGAUCAGCACACAUGAAUUGAUCCGCAGAUAUCCGAAUGGGGCAACCCACUAUAUUGAAGAUAUAGUAUGCCGCAAGGCAAGCAAACCCGGAGAACUGAAACAUCUAAGUACCCGGAGGAGAAGAAAACAAAAGUGAUUCCGAUAGUAGCGGCGAGCGAAAUUGGAUUAGCCCAAACCAGUGUUGUUACGGCAAUACUGGGGUUGUAGGACCACGACAUUAGAAGCAUGAUGAAUUAGAAUUGUUUGGAAAGACAAGCCAUAGACGGUGAUAGCCCGGUAUAAGUAAAGAUUGUGGAUAUAGUGGUAUCCUGAGUAGUGCGGGACACGAGUAAUCCUGUAUGAAUCAGUCGGGACCAUCCGAUAAGGCUAAAUACUCCUGAGAGACCGAUAGUGAACUAGUACCGUGAGGGAAAGGUGAAAAGAACCCUGAAUAAGGGAGUGAAAUAGAACCUGAAACCAUACGCUUACAAGCGGUCGGAGCAGACUUGAUCUGUGACGGCGUGCCUUUUGCAUAAUGAGCCUACGAGUUACCGUUACUAGCAUGGUUAAUCGAUUCAGUCGAGGAUCCGAAGCGAAAGCGAGUCUGAAUAGGGCGAAUAAGUUAGUAGUGGUAGACGCGAAACCGAGUGAUCUACCCAUGAGCAGGUUGAAGCUUUGUUAACCCAAAGUGGAGGACCGAACCCGUUGACGUUGAAAAGUCUUGGGAUGACUUGUGGGUAGGGGUGAAAGGCCAAUCAAACUCGGAAAUAGCUCGUACUCCCCGAAAUGCAUUUAGGUGCAGCGUUGUAAAAGUUAUAUAGAGGUAGAGCUACUGAUUGGAUGCGGGGGCUUCACCGCCUACCAAUUCCUGACAAACUCCGAAUGCUAUAUAAUGAUUUACAGCAGUGAGGGCAUGGGUGCUAAGGUCCAUGUCCGAGAGGGAAAGAACCCGGACCAUCAGCUAAGGUCCCCAAGUGUAUGCUAAGUUGAUAAAACGCGGUAAAAUUGCAUUGACAGCCAGGAUGUUGGCUUGGAAGCAGCCAUUCAUUUAAAGAGUGCGUAACAGCUCACUGGUCGAGCGAUUUUGCAUGGAUAAUAAUCGGGCAUAAGUAUACCACCGAAGCUAUGGAUUUGUGAAUAACAAGUGGUAGGGGAGCAUUCUAUGUGCACUGAAGGUGAACUGUAAGGUUUGCUGGAGCGCAUAGAAAAGAAAAUGUAGGCAUAAGUAACGAUAAGCGGUGCGAGAAACACCGCCGCCGAAAGACUAAGGUUUCCCCAGCUAUGCUAAUCAGCUGGGGGUCAGUCGGGGCCUAACACGAACCCGAAGGGGGUAGUGGAUGGACAAUCAGUUAAUAUUCUGAUACCUGCCCGCGCUAAAAGCGACGGGGUUGUGGCGUUGGUGCGCACUGACGGAAUAGUGCGUUGAAGUAGGGGAGACCCUAUGAUAGUACCAGGAUUCUUCGGAAGAAUGGAUAAUCCAGCUUAACAACCUCCAAGAAAAGCGAGCGAGGCAGCCCGUACCGUAAACCGACACAGGUAGUUGGGAUGAGUAUUCUAAGGCGCUCGAGAGAUUCAUGGCUAAGGAACUAGGCAAAAUAGACCUGUAACUUCGGGAGAAAGGUCGCCCCCUUCUGGGGGGCCGCAGUGAAAAGAUCCAGGCGACUGUUUAUCAAAAACACAGGACUCUGCAAAAUCGAAAGAUGACGUAUAGGGUCUGACACCUGCCCGGUGCUGGAAGGUUAAGAGGAGAUGUUAUCGCAAGAGAAGCAUUGAAUUGAAGCCCCAGUAAACGGCGGCCGUAACUAUAACGGUCCUAAGGUAGCGAAAUUCCUUGUCGGGUAAGUUCC
rnacentral:rRNA from 1 species